GAAACUACAAAUGAAGUUGACCGGGGGCCCGCACAAGCGGAGGAGCAUGUGGUUUAAUCGAUGAUACGCGAGGAACCUUACCUGGGCUCGAACGUAAGAUGACUGUAGGUGAAAGCUUACAUCUCUUCGGAGCAUUUUACGAGGUGCUGCAUGGUUGUCGUCAGCUCGUGCCGUGAGGUGUCGGGUUAAGUCCCAUAACGAGCGCAACCCCUACCUUUAGUUGCCAUCAGGUAAUGCUGGGGACUCUAAAGGAACUGCCUACGCAAGUAGUGAGGAAGGCGGGGAUGACGUCAAAUCAGCACGGCCUUACGUCCAGGGCUACACACGUGCUACAAUGGCCGAUACAGAGGGCAGCUACCUGGUGACAGGAUGCAAAUCUCCAAAGUCGGUCUCAGUUCGGAUCGGAGUCUGCAACCCGACUCCGUGAAGUUGGAUUCGCUAGUAAUCGCGCAUCAGCCAUGGCGCGGUGAAUACGUUCCCGGGCCUU
rnacentral:rRNA from 1 species